AACAGGUCUGAUGCACCAUCUGGUGAGAAGAUGUACUGGGUGUGCCUGGCUAUACACAUGAUGUGCCCCUCCUCUUCCCCCAGCACCAACGCACUGGGGACAGUGACACUGAGCUGCUGCUGGAGCUGCAGUGGAUUUCGUGCUUGAGUCUGCCUGUCAUCAGUGAAUGACCCCAUGAGACACCUUUCUCUGGAAAGAUGCAGCAAACAUGAGUUUCAGCUGCCAGAUCGAAUGUUUCCUCUGGAGGGUGUGAAGUUGUAGCAGACUCUGGGUUUGCUGUGCAGGAAGGAGGACAGGACUAAAAACCUGAGAACACUGCUGUGAUACUGGAUAAUUUCAGUGCCAAUGAUGCUAGAAAGCAAGCCCGGGAUCAACACUGAACUGGUCAGAAAGAAAAAAAAACCCAAACCCCAAAACACAAACUGAAGCUCUCUAGGAAGCUCAGAUUUUCUUAAAGAACUAACAUGUAUCAUAGCAUUGAUGGAGGCCUAGCGAGGAGACCCUAACAUAGAGAGAAGUAAACUGAGGAGGAAAGCUUUGGCAACCCUGAAAACCAAGAGCAGAAAGUCGCUGCCUAGUGACAGUAAAAUGAGAGAGGACAUGAGGAUGACAAAUGGGAGUCUGUGUGGGUGACACCUCAGGACACAGGGCACAGCUUGUGAAAACAUGUCACAUUUCUGUGGUGCAGCAGAGUGGGAGGCAGCAAAUCUGGAUCUUAUUACCAGUUUGGCCAUAGUCUUCCUGUGUGAACAUGGAGAUCUCAUGAAUGCUGGCAGGACCCCUUAAAAAGGUGAUGUGUGCAUUGCUAGAAGAUCCUGCUGGGAAAAUACUCCAUUCUAAAAC
rnacentral:lncRNA from 1 species